AUAGCUAACAUCGGGCUGGAUACGACAA
rnacentral:sRNA from 1 species